AGAACGUUAGCUCAGUUGGUUUAGAGCGCCGCCUUGACAGGGCGGAGGUCAUGGGUUCGAAUCCCUUACGUUCUA
rnacentral:tRNA from 1 species